UUCCGGCAAAAAUACCCACCACCUGUGUGUGCUCAGCGAGUAGCUCCACUUUCCCCCGCGUCGAAACCCCCCUGCUUCCGAUUCUCCUCCGACACGACGCCCGAUCCCAUAUCCUUUCCCUCGAAUCAUCGAUCCAACGCAGACUCCAAGCGCGAUAGGGCGCUCCUUCCGUCGUCGCUCCAGGCUGUUAGGGCUCGUACUCUUCUUCCUCUUCGAGCUGCGGUUGAAUUGGUCCAAGAUAUAUAGGGUUUCGAGGCAUGGGGUCGGGUCGAUGAAGGAUUCCGGAGCUGUGCAGCGGAGUGUGCAGGGGCCGGGCGCAGGCGAAUCCGGUGGUCCAGGCUGAGCGGCCGAGCACCAGGCGGAGUCGGGCGGCGAGGAACCAGCAGGUCCCCCGAGCGGAGGGAGGAGAUUGGUUUAUUAGAGGACCGCGGCGAGGUUAGAGGUUUGGGUGGGGAGGAGAAACUGGAAGAGGUCGGGGAGAGGAAGAUGAAUGACUACGAUCGUGGGGCGACGAGCCCAGAUAAGCUCCCUGGUGGGGAGGACGAGACGAGCACGGCCCCUCUCCCAGAAAAGGAACUACCUCUACUUUCAAGGGUUAAAUGAAUCCACAUAAAGAGCAUGUGCCAUUUUGUUUUCCUUUCUUUUGAGGUUCAAGUCAGCAAUUCACCAGUAUACAAAGUUGAAAGGAAGCUAGGCAAAGGAGGAUUUGGGCAAGUUUAUGUUGGUCGCCGUAUUUCACCUACCAAUGCAAAUGAUACGACUACUGGUUCUAAUGCCGUAAAGUGUAGCAUUAAAGUUUGAACAUAGGAACAGUAAGGGAUGUAAUUAUGGUCCACCUUAUGAAUGGCAGGUUUACAACACUCUUGGUGGUAUACAUGGGAUGCCAUGAGUCCAUUACAAGGGCCGCCAAGGGGACUAUUAUGUUAUGAUUAUGGAUAUGCUGGGACUGAGUCUAUGGGAUGUCUGGUCUCCAAAAGAGCAACCUUACUAUUGUUCCAAGUCUGCCCUCAAAUGCAGCAAUUGUUCCCAGAUAUAGAAGGUCUGAUUUCACUUCAUCUUUGGCAUGUGAGCGAAAGCUGAACAUCUAAGUGUGACAAAUUGAGAUUUUCUGAACUAAGUUGUCAUCCUAGAUUCCUCUGAUUAGACUGAUUCCUAUGAGUUAUUAGACUGUGUUUGAAUGCUUUUAAAGUAGGAUGGGGUAUAACUAGAAGUUAAUCACUAUGGUCAUUUUCUUGUAGGCUACCACGAGUUUUUUCCCCUCCUCUUCUGGAGAUGUUCAUCAGUUAGCUAUUCAAUGGUUUUUGUAUUAUUGCAAGCUAUUGGGAUAUGUCUACACUUAAUUCAACACAAAAUAUGCUGUAGAAGAAACAGCACAAAAAAGUUGUCUUUUCUUCUUUGCUCUUAUACAACAGGUUUUUUAGGCUGCA